rnacentral:lncRNA from 1 species
GAAAAACCAGGAAUUUACAAGCAACUAUAACAGAACAAUUGAAAACACCGGCCUUGAUAAUUCACAGGGGUGCAAAUGGGACUAAUCAAACCGUAAAAAGCCUAAUUUAUUGGGACAAAGAUGAAUAUUGUGGAGUAUUUACACUACGAAAAGGGGACAAACUUCAUUGUGAGCUUCACGCUUGGAAUGAGACACUUCAUGGAUAUUUCUCAGUUUUUUGGAAUUUUUAUAGCAUCUGCAUAGACAAGUACGAGGAAGCUUGUCGGCACCAGAAAUCGCAUGUAGUUUCACUUCCUUUGAUCCCCUGCCUACAGGAAGUGAAAAAUGGAUUUGGGUAAAACAUCGAUGAGGAAUACGGACGCGGAAAUAAAAUUGUAAUGCAAGAUCCCAAA